rnacentral:rRNA from 1 species
UACAGAGGGGGCAAGCGUUAUUCGGAAUUAUUGGGCGUAAAGGGCGCGUAGGCGGCUAUUCAAGUGACGGGUGAAAGCCCUCGGCUUAACCGAGGAACUGCCUGUCAGACUGGAUGGCUUGAGACCGGGAGAGGUGAGUGGAAUUCCCAGUGUAGCGGUGAAAUGCGUAGAUAUUGGGAGGAACACCAGUGGCGAAGGCGGCUCACUGGACCGGAACUGACGCUGAGGCGCGAAAGCGUGGGGAGCAAACAGG